rnacentral:tRNA from 1 species
AGGAAUUUAGGUUAAUCACAGACCAAAAGCCUUCAAAGCUUUAAGUAAAUAAUCACUAUUUAAUUCCUG